rnacentral:rRNA from 1 species
UACCCAUCAGAGGGGGAUAACACUUGGAAACAGGUGCUAAUACCGCAUAACAGUUUAUGCCGCAUGGCAUAAGAGUGAAAGGCGCUUUCGGGUGUCGCUGAUGGAUGGACCCGCGGUGCAUUAGCUAGUUGGUGAGGUAACGGCUCACCAAGGCCACGAUGCAUAGCCGACCUGAGAAGGUGAUCGGCCACACUGGGACUGAGACACGGCCCAG